rnacentral:rRNA from 1 species
AUUGAACGCUGGCGGCAGGCCUAACACAUGCAAGUCGAGCGGAUGAAGGGAGCUUGCUCCUGGAUUCAGCGGCGGACGGGUGAGUAAUGCCUAGGAAUCUGCCUGGUAGUGGGGGAUAACGUCCGGAAACGGGCGCUAAUACCGCACACGUCCUGAGGGAGAAAGUGGGGGAUCUUCGGACCUCUCGCUAUCAGAUGAGCCUAGGUCGGAUUAGCUAGUUGGUGGGGUAAAGGCCUACCAAGGCGACGAUCCGUAACUGGUCUGAGAGGAUGAUCAGUCACACUGGAACUGAGACACGGUCCAGACUCCUACGGGAGGCAGCAGUGGGGAAUAUUGGACAAUGGGCGAAAGCCUGAUCCAGCCAUGCCGCGUGUGUGAAGAAGGUCUUCGGAUUGUAAAGCACUUUAAGUUGGGAGGAAGGGCAGUAAGUUAAUACCUUGCUGUUUUGACGUUACCAACAGAAUAAGCACCGGCUAACUUCGUG